UGGGUAACCUGCCCAAGAGAUCGGGAUAACACCUGGAAACGGGUGCUAAUACCGGAUAACAACAGAUGAUGCCUAUCAACUGUUUAAAAGAUGGUUCUGCUAUCACUCUUGGAUGGACCUGCGGUGCAUUAGCUAGUUGGUAGGGUAACGGCCUACCAAGGCGAUGAUGCAUAGCCGAGUUGAGAGACUGAUCGGCCACAUUGGGACUGAGACACGGCCCAAACUCCUACGGGAGGCAGCAGGC
rnacentral:rRNA from 1 species